rnacentral:rRNA from 1 species
CCAAUAGCGUAUAUUAAAGUUGUUGCAGUUAAAAAGCUCGUAGUUGAAUUUCGGGAUCAAAGAAUCGGUCAUGCCUUGGUAUGCACUGGUUUUAUUGGUUCUCACCUUCUAAAGAACCAUAAUGUCAUUCAUUUGAUGUUAUGGGGAAUUAGGACUGUUACCUUGAAAAAAUUAGAGUGUUUAAAGCAGGCUCACGCUUGAAUACAUUAGCAUGGAAUAAUGAAAUAGGACGUUUGAUUCUAUUUUGUUGGUUUCUAGGAUCGACGUAAUGAUUAAUAGGGAUAGUUGGGGGCAUUAGUAUUCAAUUGUCAGAGGUGAAAUUCUUGGAUUUAUUGAAGACUAACUACUGCGAAAGCAUUUGCCAAGGAUGUUUUCAUUAAUCAAGAACGAAAGUUAGGGGAUCGAAGACGAUCAGAUACCGUCGUAGUCUUAACCAUAAACUAUGCCGACUAGGGAUCGGAUGAUGUUAAUUUUUUAAUGACUCAUUCGGCGCCUUACG